rnacentral:rRNA from 1 species
UACAGAGGUCUCAAGCGUUGUUCGGAUUCAUUGGGCGUAAAGGGUGCGUAGGUGGCGAGGCAAGUCAGAUGUGAAAUCCCGGGGCUCAACCCCGGAACUGCAUUUGAAACUGCCUUGCUCGAGUACUGGAGAGGAGACUGGAAUUUACGGUGUAGCAGUGAAAUGCGUAGAUAUCGUAAGGAAGACCAGUGGCGAAGGCGAGUCUCUGGACAGUUACUGACACUGAGGCACGAAGGCCAGGGGAGCAAACAGG